rnacentral:tRNA from 1 species
UGCCAUGACCAGGAUUCGAACCUGGGUUAUUGCAGCCACAACACAAUGUCCUAACCACUAGACGAUCACAGC